AAACGGCGGUGCAAAAAGGCCUCAAAAGUAACGCCAGUACUAGUAUACAAAAGACAAGUAAGAGAGAGGCAGAGAGGAAAAGAGGGGUAUGAAAAAUGGGCGCCUACAGCACAGGCAGCGCACAUCUGUCAACGAGUUAUUCAAAAACCCAACCUUUUGUGCUGUUAAGGAAAAAAUUUCAAUGUGUGUGAGUAGGACUGAGGUUGUCUAAACUGCGUGAAUUUUCAGGUUUUCCCUCUUAAAAUUGAGUUUCAAUUAAAAGAAUUUGCCAAAAAGGGUAUAUUAAUAAAUGCCCUGCUUAGAUUACAGUAAUCUGUAUAGAUUCACUUCUUCUCUGCCCUUUCUGUGUGCUUCUGCUAUGAACGUAUUCCACCAACAUCUAAAGAUCAAAAGAAAUGUAAAGGUGUAAUAACAAUAAGAAGCUCUCAGUUUCGGACUUUAUUCGUUUUUAUGUUGAAACUCAGAUGAGUAAUGUUUAUGCUAGCAACUAUAUCAACUUAAGGAUAUAAUAGGAAAGUAAUCCAAGAAGAAAAUUAUACUCGGUAUUGUAAAUCUAUCUCGGGUAUCAGAAAUAUAAAUACAUUUGCAGCGGGUCUUGCAAUAGAUUAUGUAGUUGAAUGCAAUGUUAGACAUUAGAACUGUUAUAACCUAUUGAAAUAAUAUCCGAGUAUGUGAAAUAAAGAUUUGUUUUCUAAAAACGUAACAGGAAAGGAAAAACUGAUUAAAUCAAAUUUGUUGCCACCAAGAACCUAGGGAGACCCACAUAUUGAAAGGUCUAAAAAGGUAAGGGAACAAAGUCUUGGGUCUUGUUCAGAGACAAAUCUAGUUGGAAUGGUUUAUUCAAAAUCACUGCUUUGAGUCUGGAUCAUGUAUAAAUUAUAGAAUUAAGACAUGCAGAUAUAAUAAACUUACUGAUAAGGAUUGCAAAUAUAUUACUCACGUGCAGUACACACAAGUUGGCUUUCUUGUAAACAAUGUUUUCAUCACCUUAGUGGCUGCCCACUCAAUGACCGUGUUGUUAUCAUCCUAUGCUUCCUUGAUAUCUCAAGAACAUCAGACUCUGCAUCCUAGAUCGUGUUAUACAUUUCUUUAAGGGCAUACUAUUGUAGAAACUCAACAGUAUUGCAUAUUACCUGAGGAAGGAGUUCAGCUCCGUGGAUUUGCACUUGAAUAGACAUACAGUUGACUGUAAAAUCACUAUACUUUGUAAAGAUGUUAUCAGACACAGGUGCAAUGCCGGCUCUAAUCUUGUAGCUACUGAGUAUAGCAUAGACAUAGCAUCUCCGUAUCUGGUUCAGAGAGCCCCAAGGACUAAUCAUCGGUCCUGAAGAUCAGCAAACUAUUAGAAAUGAUUAUUCCAAACAUAAAAGAUCUUAACUGAAAUGUGAAGGCAGCGAGCUAAGCAAAUAGGUUAGACCUAAUAGGCGGCAAAUGAGUGUUUAUAUCAAAUACAGAUAUACUAAACUCAGUACGGUAAGAGAGAGAAAGUUAACUUUUAAUUUACAUCACUUAGCUACACGUUAAUAGGCAUUAUCUCCACAGAUUUGGUACGUGUUGCCUCCUUGGCGCAAUUCCGUUAUAAAUGGAUAGAUAACAUUUCUUUAUAGCUUCUUCCAUUUAACACAAUAGUAAGAUUUCCUCGUCAUUGGCGAAACUAAAUCAAUUCUUCUGCUAUAUCUAUCACAAUUCCUACAGUUCUCAGCAUAAUAAAUCCUUAUCCUACAAAGACAAUCAAGGAAACCUUAAUCUAAGUAAAGAUUUAACCUUCUGCAUAAAAGACAAACUUGUAAGGAUAAGAUUAAUCAAAAUGCUUGGAGAAGCCCUCUGCAGAAAAUCACAUAGAAUACCACACUCUAGAUAACUUCUUCUUUAAAUGCAGAGCAGAAAAGAAGGGAUUCCUUUCCUGAAGUUGGACAUAGAAAAUCAAUGCAAAGCAUGAGAAAGUCACCUUUACAUAAAUGAAAUUAGCUUAACGUGUAUGGUCAUGGUAUCAUUCAAUACUUUUACAGAAGUUAUAGAUUGGUUAAUUUAUCAUUUCAAUUAACAUUUAAAUCAAGGCUGAUUCAUCUAUCUACAUGAGCAUCCCCAUAAGGUUAAAUGUCUAAGGGAGAGACAUUCACUGGCAUGCAUAUGCUAUUUCAGUUGUAGAAACUCAACAGUAUUGCAUAUGACCCUGAGCAAUACUGUUGUGGAUUCGCACUUGAAUAGACAUACAGUUGGUUGAAACAUCUCUGUACUUUGUAAAGAGAGCAUCAGACACAGGUCUGUGUCCGCUUAAAUCUUGAAGCUACCGAGUAGAGACAUAACAUUCCAUAUCUGGUUCAGAGAGUCCCAAGGCCAUAUCAUCGGCCCUGAAGAUCAGUAAAUUAUUAGAAAUGAUUACUCCAAACAUAUUAGAUCCUAUACUGAUAUAUGAAGGCAGCAAACUAAGCAAAUAAGUUAGACCUAAUAGGCUCCAAAUGAGCGUUUAUAUCAAAUCUAGAGUAUACUGAACUCAGUAAAGUAAAAGAGAAGAAAUCUAGUUAACUUUCGGUUUUACAUCCCUCGGCUAUACAAGGUUGAUAAGUAUAAUUUUCUCCACCGAUUUGGUCCUGCGUUGACUCUUGGCACAAUUCCAUUCUAAAUAGGUAGAUUUCAUUUCUUUAUAGCUUCUUCCACUUAACACAAUAGUAGGACGAGAAAUCAACCCUUCAGCUCUAUUAUCGAAAUUCCUACGGUUCUCAGAAUAAUAAAUCCUUACCCUAUAAAGACAAUCAAGGAAACCUUAAGCUGAGAAAAGCUUUAACCUUCAGUAGAAAAGACAAACUUGUAUGGAUAAGAUCAAUCAAAAUGCUUGGAGAAGGCCACUGCAGAAAAUCGCAUAAAAUACCACUCUAGAUCACUUCUUUAAAUGCAUAGCAGAAAAGUAGGGAUUCCUUUCUUGAAGUUAGACAUAGAAAAUCAAUGGAAAGCACGAGUAAGUCUCCUUUACAUAAAUGAUAUUAGCUCAACAUAUGUAUAUGGACAUGGUAUCAUGCAAUAUUUGUACAAAAGCCAUAGAUUGGUUAAUUUAUCAUUUCAAUUUAUAUUUAAACCAAGGCCAAUUUAUCCAUCUUCCUUAGCAUAUCUAAGGUUAAAUAUCUAAGACGGAGCCAUUCACUAGCAAAACCUGUAAUAGUAAUUUCAGUGGUAAAGCUCUUGCUGAAUAUUGUGAUAACAAGUAACAGGGCAGAUACUCAAAGCACUAAGACACUGCAACUUUACUCAAAAGCUUCAAACUUCACUAAGAGUGUAUUUUGUAUUGAGGAAAACAUUUUCUGGAAAAUGUUGUCUAAUAUUCUUGUGAGAAAUAUAUUAUUGAAUUGUGUAUCUAAAUAGUUACAUUGAGACCCUAUUUAUAGACACUACAUUGGAAUCCUUUUCCAACUAGAAUUCCUAUUCUUAUUCCUAUUCCUAUUCCUAUUCCUAUUCUAAGUAGGAAAUACUUAUUUCUAUUCUAACACUCCCCCUCAAGCUGGUGCAUACAAAUCAUAUGUACCUAGCUUGUUACAGAUGUAAUUAAUACGAGGACAUGUGAGGGACUUGGUGAAGAUAUCUGCAAGCUGAUCAUUUGACUUCACAAAAUUUCGUAACAAUAUCUCCCGAGAGUAUCUUUUCUCUGACCCUUCGGGGUGGCCCAGUGGUUUGGGCUUGGGACUUCCAUGUUGGAGGUCUCAAGUUCGAAACCCCUUGCCAGCGAAAGCAAGGGGUUUGCCUUCUGGGUCGAGCUCGUCGCACCAGGCUUGCCUAGUGCGGGUUACCUCUCCUAUGUGGUUUGCGAGCUAUUGCAUAGGAGCGGGGGUUUUACCCUGUGCGCAUCCAAAGGAUAGCGGCUACAGGUUUCCUUUGUCAUCAAAAAAAGAGUAUUUUUUCUCUGACAAAGUGACAGUCAAUCUCAAUGUGCUUAGUCCUUUCAUGAAACACUGGAUUUGAUGCGAUAUGAAGAGCCGCUUGAUUAUCACACACAAGUUCCAUCUGAUCAAUUUUGCCAAAUUUUAGUUCUCCCAGCAACUGUUUGAUCCAAACUAGCUCACAAGUUGCUGUCGCCAUUGCUCGAUAUUCUGAUUCUGCACUAGAUCGAGCAACCACAUUCUGUUUCUUACUCUUCCACGACACCAAAUUACCUCCUACUAAAACACAAUAUCCGGAUGUCGAACGUCUAUCAGAGGGUGAUCCUGCCCAAUCAGCGUCUGUAUAUCCAAUGAUAUGCUCAUGGCCUUGAUCCUCAAAGAGUAGUCCUUUACCGGGAACUGACUUUAUAUAUCGUAGAAUACGAACAACUGCUUCCCAAUGACUAUCACAAGGGGAAGUCAUAAACUGACUCACAACACUCACGGGAAAAGAGAUGUCAGGUCUAGUCACUGUGAGAUAAUUCAACUUUCCAACAAGCCGUCUAUACCUUUCAGGAUUACUAAGUAUUCUUGUUGUUUUUCCACAUUCGUAGUAACUGGCAUCAAUGUGUCAAAUUCCUCCAUGACUGCCUAUACCUGUCCCAAGUAAGUAGACAUAUCGGAUUCUUGUUUCUUUAAGUUGGUCAAUCGAGCUAUCACAUCAUAGAAUCGAGACAUGUAAUUAGUGUAUGAAGCACGAGCCUUUUCCCAAACUGUAUAACACGUCUGGAAUGGGCGAAACAAGGGCAUCAACUUGGAAUCAAUAGAACGCCAUAGGAGACUACAUAAUUGAGCAUCUACUUUCUCCCAUUGUGCUUUGGCUUUGGCUUUUACAUCUUCCUCACUAGUCAUUGCCUUUACAUCUACCACAUAAGCCUUGUUCGUUAAGUGAUCUUGGACACCUUGACCCUUGCACCACAGCUCAACCGAGGAAGCCCAAGAUAAAUAGUUUGAACUUCCCAAUAAAAGUUCUGAAGUGAUUAUAGGGCUAGAACUUCCAAUCCCCAUAUUUUUAGAACCAAAAACAUCACACCCAAAAGACAUUAUGCUAAAUUUGUCUUGGAAACAACAAAAACUGGUCAAAAGCAAUAUGGGCCUGGUCGUAAUGGCUGGACGACCCCAACUGUGAAAAAACUUCUCAAAAAAUAUGAUCAGAAAAACCCUCACGCGCCGGCGCGUGAGCCAGAUCUCGCCGAAAACUACCACCUCCGAUCAGCGCAUGAGAGCGCGUGGGGUGAUGUUUUCCGGUGGUUCUGGCUGGGGUUUGGUCGCGGGGGCUUUCCGAGCCUCGUGGUGGUGUUGGUUUUCGCACAACACCCACAGAAGGAAAAAAGAAUAACAAAAUCAGACCCAACAGUCACCGGAAAUUGACAUAGACAUACGGUGACUUGUUUGUUCUCACCAAUGCUCUGAUACCAUGUGAGAAAUAUAUUAUUGAAUUGUGUAUCUAAAUAGUUACAUUGAGACCCUAUUUAUAGACACUACAUUGGAAUCCUUUUCCAACUAGGAUUCCUAUUCCUAUUCCUAUUCCUAUUCUAAGUAGGAAAUACUUAUUUCUAUUCUAACAAUUCUCAUGUGUAGUUGGUCAAAAUAUUUUGGAAAACAUUUAGUCUAGACUUCUCUAAUGAAAGUAGAGAAAACAAGUUUCAUAAGUGACAUUUCAAGUUCAUUGUGUCCUCCCCACCCACCAAACAUCCCCAAUCCCCACCCCAUUAAUCAUUCAACCCCUGAACCCCCAAAUCCCUACCUCAUCCCGCCACAUAGUGUUUUGCUAGAUCAUAUAUAAAUGCUCUUGGAAUAAUAUUAUUUUUCUUACUAGAAACCCACUUAUUUUCCAAUAAAAUAUUGUCUAGGAAAACAUUUUCCCAUGUACCAAACACACCCUAAGUGCAGAAACGUCAAAUGAUUUAACAUUCAGACUGAAGAACAUAAUCUUAAGAAAAUAUAUGCCUGAGGGAGCACUGGGCAUUACCAUCAAACAAGAACCAGAUAGAGAAAUGUUUCCCAACAACAUCUUCAAUAUUAGAAGGGCCAGAUAGCAGCUUUUGAGAUAUCUAGUGAUCAAAUCCAAGACAACGGGUUCGGCUACAGAAGGAGAACAGUUAAAGACCACUAAAGCACAUAUGCAAACCUAAGAGGAAGCUUGAUCUUUGACAAAUGUGAGAAUACGGGAGAACCAGUCGCAUAACAGAAAUAGUUGUCCUUGCACAACUGACAGUAUUUGUAACCAUGAUCUUUGUCCCUGCACAAUUUAGAAACAGUUAAUGCAGCUACUAAUAGAAAUAAUCCCAUCAAAGUAACUAAAUAAUCAUAUGAUCUACAUAAGUAACAUAACAAAUACAGUUAUAUGUAUCAACAGGAAAUCCUCAUGAGUUACCUUCUCGUUCUUUAAAUUUCAAGAAAAAUAAUGGCAACAUGGAAUUAUUUAACUCUGUCAGGCACCGCCAUAUUGAAGCGAGUCUUGGUAUCUUGAACCGUAGAAAUGCAUUGACAUAGUUCAUAUUCAUAAGGGAGAACAAUUUGGAGUGUAAAUGAUAGAAAGAUGAAUAGAUAACGAGAACUGCUUGAGAUAUCUAAUGAUCAAAUCCAAGACAAUGGGUUCAGUUAUUGAAGGAUACUAAAGCACAUAUACAAGCCUAAGAGGAAGUUGCACAUAAAAUAGUCUUUUGCCUCAUUGGGGACUGGGCUAACAUUCUAAAUAUUUUUGUAUAACCUUUUUGUAGCAUAGACAAUUGUAAUGAAUUUGACAGCAUCUCUUUUGUACACUAAUAUCUUCAUGCCAACAAUAAAUCUACUUACUUCAUAAAAUUAAAAAAAUUAAAAAAACUAAGAGGAUGCUUGACCUUUGACAAACUAAGAGAACCAGUGACCACAUACAUAGUAGCACCCAUGUACAAUAUGCCCAAAGCCCUACACAAGAGUCCAAUUUAAGCUGUCCCCUGAAACGUUUCAGGAGAUAUCAAUAAAUUUUCCUAAAGAAGGAAAAAUGCAUAACAUACUUUACCCAAAAUAAUUCUUCUCCAAGUGAGAGUACUAGCCUAACCUACCUCACAAAUCACAAAUGACAGUGUUAUUUCAACGUCCGCUGAUUCUCUUGAUCAUAUCUGAAGCCAUUACAAGUUUCCAAAGUCAACUGAAAGAUCAAUUUAGAAAGAUAAAAACGUACUAAUACUUAUUUUUUAGAAUACAGAUCCUCAACUGAGAGUAUUUCUACCCCUACCUCAUAAAUCACAUGGACAUCUUUAUUUCAACAGUCGACUGAUUAUGAACUACUCCAGGCUUCAUAACUACCAUAUGCAGAUAAGACCAUAGCCUAUUGAUGUACAAAGGUCGCAUAACAGACUUACUUUGUGCUAGCAAAAUAAUAAUUUAGAAACAGUUAAUGCAGCUACUAGUAGAAAUAAUUCCAUCAAAAGUUCUCAACUGGAACUCCGUUAGUCACUGCCAUUAUGGUACUUAAAAGAUCUUGAAGCUACUCUUGAGAUAAUGGCGUGGAACCCUAACAAUGAAUUGACACAGUACAUAUUUAUGGGAUGAGGAAGAAGUGAGAAUAAUUUAGAGCUUAAGUGAUAUGGAGAUGAAUAUUACAAGUUUCCAUCUUUGUCCCUGCACAAUAUAGAAAUAAAGUAUCAGAAGUAACUGGAAAUCCUCCUGAGUUACCUUCUCCUUCUUUAAAUUUCAAGAAUUGAAGCGAGUGUUAGUAUCUUGAAUCCUAGCAAUGAACUGAUGAAGUACAUAUUUAGAGCGAAAGUGAUAUGGAGAUGAAUAUUACAAGUUUCCAUCUUUGUCCCUGCACAAUAUAGAAAUAAAGUAUCAGAAGUAACUGGAAAUCCUCCUGAGUUACCUUCUCCUUCUUUAAAUUUCAAGAAUUGAAGCGAGUGUUAGUAUCUUGAAUCCUAGCAAUGAACUGAUGAAGUACAUAUUUAGAGCGAAAGUGAUAUGGAGAUGAAUAUUACAAGUUUCCAUCUUUGUCCCUGCACAAUAUAGAAAUAAAGUAUCAGAAGUAACUGGAAAUCCUCCUGAGUUACCUUCUCCUUCUUUAAAUUUCAAGAAUUGAAGCGAGUGUUGGUAUCUUGAAUCCUAGCAAUGAACUGAUGAAGUACAUAUUUAGAGCGAAAGUGAUAUGGAGAUGAAUAUUACAAGUUUCCAUCUUUGUCCCUGCACAAUAUAGAAAUAAAGUAUCAGAAGUAACUGGAAAUCCUCCUGAGUUACCUUCUCCUUCUUUAAAUUUCAAGAAUUGAAGCGAGUGUUGGUAUCUUGAAUCCUAGCAAUGAACUGAUGAAGUACAUAUUUAGAGCGAAAGUGAUAUGGAGAUGAAUAUUACAAGUUUCCAUAGUCAAGAACAUGAUCUUUGUCCACCACAAUAUAGAAACAGUUACUACUAAAGUACUAAUAGAAAUAAGUAACCGAAGUAACUUUAAAGAAAUCAAUAUGAAGAUAAAUCGACGAUAGGCCUUUCCGAAGUACUUCUUUGUAUAGAAGAAAGCGUUCGUCUCCGGUUUGGAAAAGAUUGAAUGACGGGAGGUCAAGUUUUACAUACCUUUUGGCUUCAUAAUUUCGAUACGUUGUUCCGGAGGACUAGUCAUACCAGGAUCGUUUGGUUGGAACCAAAUUACGGAAUUAAUUAUUUCAAAAUAAGUUGUCAUAUAAAAAGUUAUUCUACCUGUAUAGCAUUUUGUUUUUAUUGUAUUUCGUUUAUCACCUUAUUUUAUUGUUGUUAUAAUUUUCUUAUUGGGUUUUGCAAUCCCGAUAGCUAGUCUCAUGUGAUGCUCCAUGAUGUUAUUGUGGGAUUUGGGCGGUAGAAUUAGUAUUUGAGUGAUGAAUUAAUAGAUUGAUUGUGGAUUAUUGUUCUCUAUGUCAUGGAUUAUAAAAAAAUUCGAGUGAUGAAUGUGCACAAUUUUGUUGUGUAACGCUAUGCAAUAUACAUGAAUGUGUUCAAGGAAUCCUAAAUAUUGUUGGAGAAGAGGAUAUUCAACAAAACUUUAUGUGUUGGUAAAAAGAAUGUUAAUAAACUCAUUUUACUGAGAAAUUGUCUCGCUCCACAAUUCAACAAAUAAGAAUAUCCAUAUCCACACGGACAGACUUACUUGUAUAUACACCAUUCCAGAUAUCAAAUUUAAAAAGUUGAUCUAAUACAUGUUUUAGAUUUACUUGGCAAUAGUGUUCAAGAAAAGUAGCAAGGAUAAAACAGCUCUACAGAAGCUCAUUUAACCUACUUAGCCGAUACUGUGCUUGAUCCUCAAUCUCCUUGAUGUCCUGCUGAACUUUUUCACGCACUGUUUCAAACACUUUGACAGACCUUUCCACCUUUCCUGCUCGGCUUCGGGCCUCUUGCAAGCGCUUUUCAGCCUUUUUGAGCCGUUCCUCUGCAGCGAAGACCUUCCUAUUCCUUUCUACCAUGUCCUUUUUAGCUGCUAUAGAUACAAGCAUGGUAGUCUUGCUUAACUCCAUCAAAUCCAAUAACUUCUUCUCCAUAUCUCCCUCUUCUGAAAUCUCAUCCAGAUACUGCUGCAGCCAAGUUACAUCAAGCUUGACCUUCGCUGCAGCAGAAACCAAAGCUCUCAUAUCUUUGAUGGAAGUAGAGCCAACAUCACCGGUUUUCAGCCUCCUUACAACAUCACAAACUAUAUCAAGAAGGGAAACUCUGAAAGCCAGUGAUUUAUAGUGACAAUUGACUGCAAUGUCACCAUACUUGGCAAAAAUGGCAGUGAGUAUGGGACCACUGCUCACUUUUACUUUAUAGCCAUGCACAUCAACCCUGACCCCCUUAUUUCCGUGUACUCCUUUUGGAGUUAAAUUAUGUUGCAUGGUCCUACCAAAAAAAAACUUUUUUCAGCUAGAAUUACAUUCAUUAUUAUGCAAAGAGGGUCUAAAUGCAAUAUAAAUAACUUACAUUGUUGGAGGAGUCGGAUCAUCAGUUGCUUCCCCCUGCCAAAUUUUCGAGCAUAGACAAGUGUUAUGAAAUAAAUACUAAGAUUAUGUUUUUAGAUUUCUAUCACUUAGCCAUGCAUGCUUUCUAGGUUUACUUUCUCAUCUAAACUUCUGCUGCAGUUUGCCAUUCACAAUGACACAUUGAACACUUUAAGAGACCAAAAUGGUUGUCGUGCAGGGUGAAAAAGACUAAUUGAAGAGGAUAUAACAAGAACCAAUUAUCAUAAAUUAAUGCCUAGGAGAACUCACAUUUAGAAUCAGUUUGAGCAUCCAACAAGGUUGAGGAAAAAUAAGGGGUAGAACAAACACUUGACCUGAAUUGACAUAAUAUUCCAAAACAAAUACAUUCAUUCACUUUACUAAGCACUUACAGAAAGUAGGCUAAUAUUAAUAGCUGAAAGCCAGAUCAAAUUAAUGAUAACAGAUGUUUACCUCUUCUUGUGAUAGAAAGUACUUCCUUUUACGUUGUUUACGUUGUUUUUUACAAGCUUUGGGGAAAUUGAUUUCUUUGGUGUUUGAGACAGAACCCAGUUCCUGCAAAGAAAGUCCAAAUUAAGGGGUAAAUUAAAUACUUUAAUUGAGUCGACAUAACUUCCGAAAUGAGAACGUUCACUUUAGUGUAAAUAAGAAAUGUCACAUGGAAAUCCUAAUCUAUGAUAAAACCUAAGUUGAAGCACAAGAAAAAAAGCAAUGCCAAGUUCCUUUAGAAUAAACAUAAUACAAAAUGGAUCGUGUUGACUGAUCCUUAAUCCCUAGUUAUGUGCAAGGAACAUAUUGAUAAUAGUAGAUAUCACAAUCGAGGCCCAGCUUUUAGGUUAGGUAAAUUUGUUUACACUUAAUAGAUCAGAAAGUAAAACCCAACCCAACAAUCAGCAAAGUUCAAAAACUUAAGAACCAUCCAAUGUGGUAUAAUAUUUAUUGAAGGAUAAGGUAUCACAUUAUCUGGCUGUACAAGCCCUGCAAUUCAAUCCCAAACUAGAGGGGGUCAGCUGUAUGAAACCUAUGUAUCCCUUCCGCAAUUUCAGCCCUAUUACGAGAAUCAGUGAAUCAACCUACCGCAUCCCUUAUCUGGACUUUGCCCCUCUUUGCUAAGUUAAUUAAACAUAGACAAGUUUUUAAUUACUAGAAUGUCCUGAUAAAGAAAUAAACCUCUUAUAGGAGAUGAUCUUUCACUAGGGGUGCUUAUAAGAAUUUCACCUGAUGCAAACCAUGGCCAAUCUACAUUACAUACAUAAAAAAGGGAUCGUUGGUUGUUAUGUACUUUUCGCUUAUGACAUUGAGGAAAGAAAAAGAAAAGGGAAAAGGCUCUCACAUCAAGUUUCUCCAGAAGCUCCUCUUUAGAAGAUGGGGGCUGCUGAAGCAGCUCAUUCCCAACUUCAAGAAGUUUUUUGUUGCAUUCCUCCUCAGACACAGAAGCACGAGCCAGGGAAAUCAUUUCCUUUUUCCAGAGCACCGCAGUUUAGAAACCAGGUUAUAAGUCUCAAAAACCCAAAAGAAAUCACCAGGGAUCAAAGGAAAAAACGGAAGUGCAGAAAAACCUAAAAGGUAACACUAGUACUAGUUUACAAAGGACAAGCAAGAGAGAGACGGAGAGAAAAAGAGGGGUUAUGUGAAAACUGGAGCGCAUACAGCACAGGCAGCGCACAUCUGUCAAUGAGUGAGUAGGACUUUUAGUGUUGUUAAGGAACAAUUUUAAGUGUGUGAGUAGGACUGAGGUUGUCUUAACUGCGUGAAUUUUCAGGCUUGCCAUCUUAAAAUUGAGUUUCAAUUAAAGGAAUUUGCCAAAAAGGGUAUACUAAUAAAUGCCCUGCUAAGAUUACAGUAAUCUGUACAGUGUGUAGAUUCACUUCUUCUCUGCCCUUUUUGUGUGCUUCGACUAUGAACGAAUACCGCCAAAAUCUAAAGACCAAAAGAAAUAUAAAGAUGAUAAUAGCAGUAAGAAGCUCUCAGUCUCGGACCUUAUUCGUUUUUAUGUUAAAACUCGGAUUAGUAAUGUUUAUGCUAGCAACUAUAUCAACUUUAGGAUAUAAUAGGAAAGUAAUAAAAGAAGAAAAUUAUACUCGGUAUUGUAAUCUAUCUCGGGUAUCAGAAAUAGAAAUACAUUUGCAGCGGGUCUUGCAAUAGAUAAUGUAGUGGAAUGCAAUGUUAGUCCAUGACACUACAACUAUUAUAGCCUAUUGAAGUAAUAUCCGAGUAUACAAAUCUUUAUUAUUAUUUUUUUCCUUCUCAAAAAAGAAAUAAAGAUUUGUUUUUCUAAAAACAUAACAGGAAAGGGAAAACUGAAUAAAUCAAAUAUGUUGCCACCAAGAACCUAGGGGGUCUCACGUAUUAAAAGGUCUAAAAAGGUUAAGGAACUAAGUCUCGGGUCCUGUACAUAGACAAAUCUAGUUAGGCUGGUUUAACCAAAAUCACUGCUUUGAAUUUGGAGCAUGUAUAAAUAUACAAAAUUAAGACAUACAUGUAAUAAACUUAGGGGUUGUUUGGUAGAGUAAUAAUACUAAAUAGAGUGUAUUAGUGAUGCUUGCAUUAAUAAUGCUUGUACUAGUAAUGCUUGCAUUAAUUAUACAUAGAUUAUUUCUUAUGCAUUGUUUGGUUUGGUGUAUUAAAAAUAGCAUGCAUUGCAUAAAAAUAUUUAUUUACAAAGAUGUCCUUAUGAUGGAAAAGAUGUAAAAAAAUAAAAUUGAGGGGUAACUGAGCCUUUAACCAUGCUAAUGCAUGUAUUAAAUUUCUUGUAUUACUAAUACCUAGAAAU
rnacentral:lncRNA from 1 species